rnacentral:rRNA from 1 species
UAGAGUUUGAUCCUGGCUCAGGAUGAACGCUGGCGGCGUGCCUAAUACAUGCAAGUCGAGCGAACAGAUAAGGAGCUUGCUCCUUUGAAGUUAGCGGCGGACGGGUGAGUAACACGUGGGUAACCUACCUAUAAGACUGGGAUAACUUCGGGAAACCGGAGCUAAUACCGGAUAACAUUUAGAACCGCAUGGUUCUAAAGUGAAAGAUGGUUUUGCUAUNACUUAUAGAUGGACCCGCGCCGUAUUAGCUAGUUGGUAAGGUAACGGCUUACCAAGGCGACGAUACGUAGCCGACCUGAGAGGGUGAUCGGCCACACUGGAACUGAGACACGGUCCAGACUCCUACGGGAGGCAGCAGUAGGGAAUCUUCCGCAAUGGGCGAAAGCCUGACGGAGCAACGCCGCGUGAGUGAUGAAGGGUUUCGGCUCGUAAAACUCUGUUAUUAGGGAAGAACAAAUGUGUAAGUAACUGUGCACAUNCUUGACGGUACCUAACAGAAAGCCACGGNCUAACAAC